AGAACAAGUACCUGAAGACAGGCCCAGAACAGUCUUGACAGUGUCCUUAGCUCUGAUGAGCUUGUAGAUAGUCUUCGGUUUCCAUAAGUCAGGUUUAACUCCAUGUAGUCCAUGCUCCCUGAUGAACGUGAAAGUGUCCAAGUA